GCUGUCUCCUGCCGGCGACGGUGGUUGGCAGAGAGGAGUCAGGUUUGGGACGAGAUACAUGUUAAGAUCACGCAAGGACGUGCCCUUCAGACUUUUUAAAAAAUUAUUUUAUUUAUUUGAAAGAGUUCCAGAGAGGUAGAGCCAGAGAGAGAGGGAGAGAGGUCUUCCAUCCGAUGGUUCACUUCCCAAAUGACCACAACGGGCAGGGCUGCGCGGAUCAGAAGUCAGGAGCCAGGAGUUUCUUCCCGGUCUCCCACGCAGGUGCAGGGGCCCAAGGACUUGGGCCGUCUUCCUCUGCUUUCCCAGGCCAUAGCAGAGAGCUGGAUCAGAAGAGGAGCAGGCGGGACUCGAACCGGCGCCCAUAUGGGAUGCCGGCGCCGCAGGCUGGGGCUUUAACCCACUGCCCCACAGCGCGGUCCCCCAGAUUUUGUUUUUAAUCCAGCCUGGGUCCCGCAGCUUGUGUUCAACUUGGCAGAAAUGUAUUUUUAAGAAUUUUUAUUUACCUUAUUUGAGAGGCAGAGGAAGAGAUCUUCCAUCCAUUGCUUCUUUUCCCAAGAAGCAGGGGUCCUAGAACUCUAUCUGAGUCGCCCACGUACUAGUGAGCCAUCACUGCUGCCCCCGAGGGUGUGCACGAGCAGGGAGCUGGGACUCGAACCCGGGCGUUCCAGUAUGGGAUAUGGGCGCACCAUGUAGCUUAACUGCAAAACCAAAUGUCCACCCUACACAAAUGAUGGAACUAGAGAAACUGGUGCUCUUUCAAUUUGUAUAAAUGUCAGAAACUGGAUUGUGGAAGGAAAAGGGGGCUGAACAGAGAGGAGACUCACGUCCAAAAUAAAUUUAUUCAAGAAGAAAAAGAAAUUGGCAGAGGUGGCUAACUGCUGCUGUGCACACCGAGUGAACACGUGGAAGAAAGCACCCACGUGGAAACCCGGAGGAAGCUCCUAGUUCCUGGCUUCAGAUGGUCCCAGCUCGGACCAUCGCAGCCAUUUGGGGAGUGAACCAGUGAAUGGAAGAUCUCUCUCCCCCUCUCUCUGUAAUUCUCAUUUCAAGCCACAGCAGAGAGCUGGAUCGGAAGUGGAGCAGCUGGGACUCGAACUGGCGCCCAUCUGAGAUGCUGGCACAGGAGGUGGAGGCUUAGCCCACUAUGCCACAGCACUGGCCCCUAACGUUUACAAAUGAUGUGCCACUAAAUUCAACUUACCAACCUUCAUUGAGACUACUGCUGGGAGUGGGGUUCACAAAGGCCAGGGCUGUCACCUCCUCCAACGGCCGUUACCUCCGCAGCAGUGGAGCCCAGGGGUCUCCCGCUGGUGCUGCCUGCAGGAAUUCACUUUUCUGGCACAGGGAGAGAACUCUUCUUUCAUCUCCAGAAUUCACAACACCCCACCUCUUUCACUGGAUUAAAAGGUAACUUAAUUCUAAUGUCCCCUCUCUCUCCAUAAUCGAGUUAAAAUCGCAGCACUUUAUUACUGACUGGCAUUUCAUCUGUAACUUGUGAGCACAGGUAACUACAGGAUAGGUCUCUAGGGCACCAGCGAGGUGUGAUUCGUCCUUUCUCCCUCCUCUUCCCAGUGCUCCACCACUCCUAAGUGUCUGUUCCCUUCCUGAGUACAGACUGCAGAUCUUUAUCUUUAAAAAUAAAUUCUCCCAGUUAUUCAACAAAUGUGAGCAUUUAUCAUCAUGGUGACCCUCCAACCUUGGACAAAUUCAGGGAAUAUAUAAUAUAUAAAUUAUCUUUGUUAACAACUGCACCACUCUGUUCUUAAAGAAGGCCUCUUCCAGCCAUAGAGGCACUUCAAACACACCCUGCAACUGUACCCACUGAAACAGAGAGCUCUCCUUAACAGAGAAUUUAGAUUCUUCUGCUGAGUAUAUUAGAUAGGUAGCAAAUCUACCCUGAUGUCGCAUGGGGCUGUAUUCUCUGAUCAUGGUAACACGCUGGCUUUACCUGGCGGUGGGUACUGUGCCGUAACACACAGAGUGGAAAGAGGUGUUCACUUCAGACCCAGUGACAGUAUGGGGAUUAGGAAGGGGCAAGACAGUCACACUGUAAAGGGACCACUUGUGCCUAAGAGUAAUUUUUCAGGCACAGAAUUCUAUUAAGAAAAAGUUCUGCGUGGCCUUUGAUGUUCGAUGCCUGAUCCCAUGUGGGGUAGAUCACGCCACUGUGGCAUGAUUUCAUUGUCACUGAGAUCCAGUGGAGUCAGGUAAUGUAACAGAAAGGGAAAAAGUAUUCCACACCUGGAAGUGCUAAUCAAAUCAAGAGAAGUAAAUUUCAGGAGUGGUUAAGUGCCAACAGUCUUCUUCAAUUGUUUUUAUUACAGUAAGAGGAAUGUUACUCUUAAUGCAUAGAAUCAGAAGAAAAAAAUUUAUAUAAGCUUUUUAAAGAGGUCUUUUGACAAUUAUUAAUACAAAUGUGAAAUAGGACCCUUCAAACAAAUACCAAUUUCAGUCAUAGUUUACAUACAGCAAUAAUUUAUUCUGAAAUGUCCUUUUAAGUUUCUGUUGAGACACAAUUCAUGUCUCAUUAAUAAAAGAGCAGCCAUCUCACCUCAAAUACCAGAAUAUACAACAAGAUACAGCAUAGCAAAAAUUCUACCUACUUUCAGAUAAAAUCUAGUUCAGGUAAAAUAGUUUCAUUCAAUGUUUUACAGUUACACAGAUUUUUGUUGUUGUUUUGAGCACAAAAUAGUGUAAAUUGUUACACUGUAGCUAUCUAUGCACAUCAUGUGACCACAGAACUGUUAAUCAUUUCUUCUGAAAUUGAACCAUCAGUUUCAUUCAUGCAAUAAAGCAAAGCAGGCUGGGUAAACUUGUUCACCGGGAACCAUAUUUCUGUGAAUUUCAUAGCCACAUGAUUAGUUAUGACAUUAGAUGGAUUCACAAGGACUAAAACGUUUUGUUUUUUUUUUUU